rnacentral:rRNA from 1 species
UAGCCGUAAACGAUACUCGCUAGGUGUCGGCCACGGUGCGACCGUUGUCGGUGCCGUAGGGAAGCCGUGAAGCGAGCCACCUGGGAAGUACGGCCGCAAGGCUGAAACUUAAAGGAUUGGCGGGGGAGCACAACAACGGGUGGAGCUUGCGGUUUAAUUGGAUUCAACGCCGGAAAUCUUACCGGGACCGACAGCAACAUGAAGGCCAAGCUGAAGACUUUGCCGGAUUAGCUGAGAGGAGGUGCAUGGCGUAGACGUCU